UACGGAGGGUGCAAGCGUUAUCCGGAUUCACUGGGUUUAAAGGGUGCGUAGGUGGGCAGGUAAGUCAGUGGUGAAAUCUCCGGGCUUAACCCGGAAACUGCCAUUGAUACUAUCAGUCUUGAAUACCGUGGAGGUAAGCGGAAUAUGUCAUGUAGCGGUGAAAUGCUUAGAUAUGACAUAGAACACCAAUUGCGAAGGCAGCUUACUACACAGUAAUUGACACUGAGGCACGAAAGCGUGGGGAUCAAACAGG
rnacentral:rRNA from 1 species